rnacentral:rRNA from 1 species
GACGAACGCUGGCGGCGUGCUUAACACAUGCAAGUCGAACGGAAAGGCCCUGCUUUUGUGCGGUGCUCGAGUUGCGAACUGGUAAGUAACCCGUGAGUAACCUACCCUUGACUUUGGGAUAACUUCAUGAAACUUGGGCUCAUCCCGGAUAGGAGCUCCUGCUGCAUGGUGGGCGUUGGAUAGUUUCGGCGGUUGGGGAUGUACUCGCGGCUUAUUAGCUUGUUGGUUGGGUAGUGGCUGACCAAGGCUUUGACGGGUAGCAGGCCUGAGAGGGGGACCGGCCACACUGGGACGGAGAUACGGCCCAGACUAGUACGGGAGGCAGGGGAGGGGAGUAUUACACAGUGGGCGGGAGCCUGAUGCAGCAAAGCAGCGCGCGGGAUGACGGGAUUCGGGUUGUAAACCGAAGUCGCCUGUGACGAAGCGUGAGUGACGGUAAUGGGUAAAGAAGCACCGGCUAACUACGUG